rnacentral:miRNA from 12 species
CAUUUUAUAUAUAUAAAUGUAUGUGUGUGUGUGUGUGUGUGUGUGUGUAUGUAUAUGUAUAUAUAUAUAUACCAUUA